UACGGAGGGUGCAAGCGUUAAUCGGAAUUACUGGGCGUAAAGCGCGCGUAGGUGGCUUGAUAAGCCGGUUGUGAAAGCCCCGGGCUCAACCUGGGAAUGGCAUCCGGAACUGUCAGGCUAGAGUAUGGUAGAGGAGUGUGGAAUUUCCUGUGUAGCGGUGAAAUGCGUAGAUAUAGGAAGGAACACCAGUGGCGAAGGCGACUCUCUGGUCUGUAACUGACGCUGAGGUGCGAAAGCGUGGGGAGCAAACAGG
rnacentral:misc_RNA from 1 species